CUGACCGGCCAUUUUCCCCCCAGGCUGCCAGGACCUUAUCAGGUGGUGUUUGUCCAUCCGCCCCUCGGACAGGCCAGCAUUGGAAGACCUUUUGUGCCAUCCUUGGGUGCAGGGCAUUCCCCUGCCCUAGAAGACGGGAGAGAUCCACGUGCUCACUUUGAUCCAGGGGCCUGGCAAACAGCUGGGCCCUCGGCAGAACGCUGACAGCCUGGUCUGGCCCCCAGGGAAGGAGAAGGGGCCUCUGGAGAAGCUGUGCCGGGUGGGGCUGCUGCUGGAGACAUCGAGGACGACGUCAGGGAUGACAAGCUCUUAGUUGACCUGGACGCCGGCGAGCUGAAGAUGAUGGACUUUGAUUGUGGCCCCUUCCUCCAAGCCGUGCUCCACAGGCCGUUUGCAGAUGAGUCCACACCCGGGGGUGCUCCCGGCCGCGGGCAUUGCUCAGCCUGGCUGGGCACCGAAGGGUCCCCCUUUGCUGCUGGGGAACCUGAGGAAUUCUUCAGCCGGCUGCCAAGCUGCUUCUUGGCAGGAGGGCGGGCGGGUGCUCUGGGCUGGGUGUGAAAUGGGAGCCCGGCUCUGCCACCAGCCUCUGCCACUGCCCCUUUGCUGGGCGGGGCUGGGGCAGGGGCAGCCAGCCUGCCAAAAACAAACCCCGUGGGGGGAGCAAAGGCGGGGCUGCAGAACACCAGCUGCUUUGGGCUGCAGGCCAGGAAAGGCUGGGGCUGCCUUGGCUUAGGAGCCUUUCUUUGGGCCAGUGCAGCAGGGCAGGGAGAAGGCCUGGGUUUUCCUGAGCUGGAGGAGGUGGGGUUUUUCUUUGGCCUGGAGGGCUUGGGCCUUCCUCAGAACCCUGACAGAAGGUUAACAUUUUACCUUUUUUUCUUGUUUCCACUUUUGGUUUGUAAUCUCUGUUCAUGAAUUUGUUGUUUGUUUUCCAGGGAAGAGUUGGAGCUGGUGCCCAGUCUGGAUUGGGAAGGGCUGGGACCAUCCCUGGAGAGGAUCUGACGUCCCCUCUGAGAAGGCUGAGGACAUCCUUUGGGACACGCUCUUCUUGCGGCAGCAGAUCUUGUGAGAUCCGAGGGAUCUCUGGAUCUUCACGCCAGCCCCAGGACUUUGCUGCAGAAGAGCACAGAUCCCCAGCCCAGUCUGGGACACAGGUGAGAUCCCACUGGAUAACAAGGCAUUCUUUUUGGGAAUCCUGCCCAUGUCAAACGUGUGGCUCUUUCAGCGCACUGGGGGUUCUUUGGUAUUUUGGGAAUCCUGCUCACCUGAGACCUGUGGAUCUUCCAGCGCUUUGGGUGGGUUCUUUGGUACUCUGGAAUUUGGUCUCUGGCUUUGUUGUAUCGAUCACUAUUGUUCUGUACUUGUAUUUGUUUCUGUAUUGUAACAUUUGGGGUCUACUGUUUAGAGCUGGGAAGUGGGCAAUGUGA
ensembl:lncRNA